GCACCCCAGCAUAUGGAAGUUCCUGGGCCAGGAAUUGAACCCUGUGCCAUAGCUUUGGCAAUGCUGGAUCCAUAACUCAUUGACCUGAGCUGAGGAUUGAACCUGUGCUGCCACAGAGACAAGGCCAGAUCCUUAAUCUGCUGCACCACAAUAGGAAUUCCUGCCUCUAGUUUUUUUCUGAGAUCUUGGAUCAUCUUUACUAUCAUCACUCUAAAGUCUUUUUCAUGUAGGUUGCUUAUCUCGACUUCACUUAGCUGUUCUUCUGGGGUUUUGUCUUGUUCUGUCAUCUGGCUCAUAUUUCUCUGCAAUUUUUCUGUGUAGUCUUUUUGCAGGGUACAGCAUUGUAGCCUCUCUUGCUUCUGUUGUCUGCCCCCUUGUGAGUGAAGUUAGUAAAGGGGCUUGUGGCCAGCUUCCUGAUGGGAUACUGGUGCCUGCCUACUGGUGAGUGGAGCUGAGUCUUGUCCCUCUAGUGGGUGGGGCUGUAUCUCUGGGUCUGAUUUGAGGUGGCUGUGUGCCUAGGAGGACUUGAGGCAGCCUGUUGGCUGAUGAAUGAGGCUGGGUUCCCACCCUGUUGGUUGUUUGGCCUGGGGCUUUUCAGCCUUGAUGGGUGGGGCCAAAUUUUUCCAAAAUGGCAGCCUCCAGGGGCACUCAUGAUGGUGAUUAUUCCCUGAGACCUCUGCUUCCAAUGUCCUGCUCCCAUAGCCAACCACAGCUGCCCCCUGCUUUCCCAGAAGAUUCUCCAAGACCCACAGGUAGUUCCGACCCAGAUUCUUUUUUCUUUUCUUUUUAUUUUUUAAGGGAUGCAUCUGCUGCAUAUGGACUUUCCAGGCCAGGGGUUAAAUUGGAGCUUCAGCUGCCAACCUACACCUCAGCUCACAGCAACGCCAGAUCCUUAAUCUACUGAGCAAAACCAGGGAUCAAACCCACAUCCUCAUGCAUACUAGUCGGGUUCAUCACUGCUGAGUCACCAUGGGAACUCCCAUGACUCAGAUCUUUAUGGAGUCCCUGCUUUGCCUUGGUACCCAGUGCACAUGAAACACUGGGUGUACCCUCAAAGAAUAGAGUCUCUGUUUCCCCCAGCCCUUUUGGAGCUCUUGCACUCAAGCCUCACUGGCCUUCAACACCAAAUGCCCUGGGAACUCCUUCUCCCAAUGCCAGACCCCCAGACUGGGGAAUCUGACAUGGGGUUUAGAACUGUCACUCCUGUGUGAGAGCCUCUGCAAUAUAGUUAUUUUCCACUUAGUGGGUAUGGGAUUGCUUAUAUCAUGGAAGUGCCCCUCCUACCAUUUUGAUGUGGCUCCUUCUUUGUCUUUGAGUAUGGAAUAUCUAUUCUGGUAUUUUCUGGGCUAUUUUGUGGAUGGUUGUUCAGCAGUUAGUUGUAAUUCCAGUGUUUUCAUGAGAGGAGGUAAGCUCAUGUCCUUCUCCUCUGCCAUCUUAUCUGGUAUCUGUUUAAAGUUUUGUUUGUUUGUUUGUUUGUCUUUUUAGAACCUCACCUGUGGCAUAUGGAGGUUCCCAGGCUAGGGGUCCAAUCGGAGCUGUAGUUGCCAGCCUACACCAGAGCCACAGCAUUGUGAGAUCCAAGCCAUGCCUGUGACCUACACACAGCUCAGGGCAAUGCCAGAUCCUUAACCCACUGAGUGAGGCCAGGGAUCGAACCUGCAUCCUCAUGGUUCCCAGUCAGAUUAAUUUCCGUUGCACCACGACAAGAACUCCUGUGUAAUGUUUUUGACAUCCUAUUUUAAAUGUUUUUGUUUUGGGUUUUCCCUAACUACUUAUUGUGGAUAUAGAUGAAUUAACUACUACUGUUUUUAACCUUCCUUCUAGCUUUGUAAGUGGUUGGCCUACUUCCUUUUCUCUAUGUUUACCUUUACCUGUGAGAGCUUUCCUCUCAUAACUUUCAUAUUCUAGUUGUGGUCUUUCUCCUAGGAGAAGUUACUUCAACAUUUCUUGUAAAGUUGGCUUCAUGGUGCGGAAAUCUGUUAGCUUUUGCUUGUCUAUAAAACUCGUAACACUGCUUCAAAUAUGAAUGAUUACCUCGCUGAGUAGAGUAUUGGUGGUUGUCAACUUUUUCCUUUCAUCCUCUUAAGUGUGUCAGGCCACUCCCUUCUGGCCUGCAAAAUUUUCUGCUGAAAAGUCACCUGAUAGCAUUACAGAAGUUCCCUUGUAUGUAAGUAGUUACUUUUACCUUUUUUUUUUUUUUUGCACACCCCCUGCUCCACCAGCGUAUGAAAUUCCCAGGCCAGCGAUCAGAUGUGAGCUGCAGUUGCAACCUACAGCACAGCUGUGGUAAUGCUGAAUCCUUAACCCUGUCUCCUGCACUGAGGAUCAAACCUGCUUCCUGGUGCUCCAGAGAUGGUGCUGUUCCCUUUAUGUUGUGCCACAGUGGGAACUCCUACCAUUCAUGAGAUCUUCUUUUUAUCUUUAAUUUUUGCUGUUUUAAUUGGAAUGUGCCUUGAUGUGGACCUCUUUGGUCUUUGAUGGGACUCUGUACUUCCUGAGCCUGGAUGUCUGUUUGCUUCUCCAGAUGGUGGAAGUUUUCAGCUAUUAUUUCUUGAAAUAAAUUCUCUGCCCUGAUCUCUCUCUUGUCUCCUGGGACUCCUUUAAUGGGAAUAUUGGGCGUCUCUUAAACUAUCUUCGUUUAAAAAGUUUUUACUUUCUUUUUUGUUCAGCUUGGAUGAUUAUUUCCACCACUGCCUUCUAGACGGCUGACUUAUUCCUCUGUAUCAUCUAAUCUAUUGAUUCCUUCUAGUGUCUUUCUUAUUUCAGUUACUAUAUUCUUCGGUUCUGUUUUUCUUUUAUUCUAACUUGUUGAAAUCUUACGGCCUUCAUCCCUUCUUCAAGUUCAGGAAGCAUCUUUAUGAUCAUUACAUUCAGUGCUUAACCAGAUUAUUUAUCUCCAUUACAUUUAGUUCUUUUUCUGAGGCUAAGGCUUAUUCUUCAUUUGGAACAUUUUCUCUUCCAUUUUGCCCAAUUCCCUCUGUUUAUUUCUAUGUAUUAGGUAGGUCAGUUACCUUUCCAAUCUUGGAGAAGUGGACCUAUGUAGGAAAUGUUCUAUGGGGCCCAGCAGCAGGCUCCCCUCUGAGGCAUAUGUUCUAGGGUGCCCCCUAUAUGUGCUGCCUAAGCCCUCUCGGUAGCAGUGGGACUGACUACUAUGGGUGUGCUGGUAAGCAGGGCUGGUCCCUGGCCUAGUUGGCUUCAAGGCUGUGCCCUGUGUGGUGGCUGUGACCCACCAGAUAGUGAAGUAGAUUUCCACUGUGAUGGGUUGUGCAGCCUGAGGUGAGACCUGAGGCGGCUGCUGGUCUAUUGGUGGGCAGAGCGUGGUCCUCAACAUUAAUAGGUAGAGGGAGGAUUCCAGAAUGGUGCUUGCCAAUGCGGGUGUUAUCACAGUAGAAUGAGGUCCACAAGUGGCUGCUGCUAGCAUCUCCAUCCCCAGGAGGUGGGGGGGGGGUCCCCAGUUGCAUUCUGUGCAUUCAGGAUCAGCAAGUGGGUCUGACCCAGGCUCCUUUGAAAUGACUGCCUCUGUGCUGGGACUCAGUGUGAGAUUUUGUGCUUGCCCUUCAAGAGUGAAGUCUGUUUCCUAUAGUCCUCUUGAUCUCCUGAACCUAAGCCUGCUUGUUUUCUUUUCUUUAAAAUUUUUUAGGAGUUCCUGUCGUGGCACAGUGGUUAAUGAAUCCGACUAGGAACCAUGAGGUUGUGGAUUCAAUCCCUGGCCUUGCUCAGUGGGUUAAAGAUCCAGCGUUGCCGUGAGCUGUGGUGUAGGACACAGACGCGGCUCGGAUCCCAUGUUGCUGUGGCUCUGGCUUAGGCUGGUGACUACAGCUCCAAUUAGACCCCUGGCCUGGGAACCUCCAUAUCCCGCAGGAGCGGCCCUAGAAAAGACAAAAAGACGAAAUAAAUAAAAUAAAAUAAAAUAAAAUAUUUUAUUAUAGGAGUUCCCAUCUUGGCUCAGUGCUAACGAUCCCAACUGGUAUCCAUGAGGACGCGGGUUCGAUCCAUGGCCUUGCUCAGUGGGUUAGAGAUCUGGCGUUGCUGGGAGCUGUGGUAGAAGUCACAGAUGUGGCUUGGAUCCCACAUGGCUGUGGCUGUGGCGUAGGCUGGCUUCCAACUUGACCCAUAGCCUGGGAACGUCCAUAUGCUCUGGGUGUGGCCCUAAAAAGAGGCAAUAAUAAUAAUAAAUAAAAUUAUUAUAUUUGAUGUGCAGCGUUCUGUCAUCCUGCUUGUUUUCACAGUCAGGUGUUCGAGGGGUUGUCUUCCCAGGGCAGACCUUCUGGGAGUGGGGAGCCUUAUGUGGGGGUUGGAGCUCCUCCUCCUUGGGGAGGGCCUCCAGGAUUGUGAUCCCCUUUCCGUUUGUGGGUCGCCGAGCUGGGAGUGGGGGUCCUGACUGUAUCGUGUGUCUGCCCCUCCUGCCCUCCUUGCUGAGGAUCCUCCUUCAUCUGGAGUUGAGGAAAAUCUUUUCUGCUGGUCUUCAGGCCGUUGUCAUAGAUAGUUGCUCUGGAAGCAGUUGUAAUGUUGGCCUACCCACGGCAAGAGGAGAAUUCAGGGUCUCCCUUCUCCCCCAUCUUGGCCACCUCUCUCCCAUACACUUGAAAUCAUCUCUGCUUAUAAUACCUAAUACAAGGUAAAUGCCGUGGAAAUCCUUGUAAAUAUAAGUGCUGUAUAAACAGCUGCUCGUAUGUGGCUAAUUCAACUUUUGCUUUUUGGAACUUUCUGUAAUUUUCCCCCAAAUAUAUUUGAUCCGCAAUUGAUUAAAAUCUGCAGAUGCAGAACCUAAAGACACAGAGGGCUGUGUGUGUGUGUGUGUGUGUGUGUGUGUGUGUGUGUGUGUGUGUGUGUACAUGCAUGUGCAGGGAUCUAUUUCUGCACUCUUUAUUCCGUUCCAUUGAUCUACGUCUGAUCUUUGUCCCUAUACUUCACUGGCUUGAUUAUUUUAGCUUUAUAUAUAAAUUUUGAAUUCAGUAGUAUAGGUCUCCAACUUUGUUCUUUUUCAAAAUUGUUUUGGCUUUUCCAGUUACUUUUGUUUUUCCCUCUCAGUUUUAAAAUCAGCUGGUCAGUUUCUACAGUGCAGCCUUGGCGAAUAUCAAUUAAGAGUUCUUUGAUUCUGAGAGUUCUGGCUCAGCAGAAAUGAAUCUGAUUAGCAUCCAUGAAGAUGCAGGUUCGAUCCCUGGCCUUGCUCAGUGUGUUAAGGGUCCGGUGUUGUUGUGAGCUACCGUGUAGGUCGCAGGAGCAGCUUGGAUCCUGAGUUGCUGUAGCUGUGGUUUAGGCUGGCAGCUCCAGCUCCAAUUGAACCCCUAGCCUGGGAACCUCCACAUGCCAUGGGUGCAGCCCUAAAAAAGACCAAAAAAAAAAAAAA
rnacentral:lncRNA from 1 species